GGUGUCGUGGCGCAAUGGUAGCGCGUUGGCUUCCGGUUCUAUAAGCAAGCCAGAUCUGCCAAAGGUUGCAGGUUCGAGUCCUGCCGGUAUCG